UCUCUCUCAGAAUCACACCUGGUGAGUUUCCAGUACUCUACCAGUCCCGACUACGGGAGGGAGAGUCAAGCAGAGGCAUACCCAUUCCAUUCCUAGCUUGGGCAGCGGUUAGUGAGUGGAAGGCAAUCUGCUACGACU